CCUACGGGAGGCAGCAGUGAGGAAUAUUGGUCAAUGGGCGAAAGUCUGAACCAGCCAAGUCGCGUGAAGGAUGAAUGCUCUAUGGGUUGUAAACUUCUUUUAUAGGGGAAUAAAAUGUUGCACGUGUGGGGUUUUGUGUGUACCUUAUGAAUAAGGAUCGGCUAACUCCGUGCCAGCAGCCGCGGUAAUACGGAGGAUCCGAGCGUUAUCCGGAUUUAUUGGGUUUAAAGGGUGCGUAGGUGGAUUUUUAAGUCAGUUGUGAAAUUUUGGGGCUCAACCUGAGGAUUGCCUUUGAAACUGGCAGUCUUGAGUACAGGAGAGGUAGGCGGAAUUCGUGGUGUAGCGGUGAAAUGCUUAGAUAUCACGAAGAACUCCGAUUGCGAAGGCAGCUCACUGGACUGCAACUGACACUGAGGCUCGAAAGCGUGGGUAUCAAACAGGAUUAGAUACCCCAGUAGUC
rnacentral:rRNA from 1 species